rnacentral:rRNA from 1 species
UACGGAGACUACAAGCGUUACUCGGAUUUACUGGGCGUAAAGGGUGCGUAGGCGGUCAGAUGUGUUAGGUGUGAAAGCCUGGGGCUUAACUCCAGAAUUGCGCCUAAAACUGUCUGACUCGAGCCUCGGAGAGGCAAGCGGAAUUCCUAGUGUAGCAGUGAAAUGCGUAGAUAUUAGGAGGAACACCAAAGGCGAAGGCAGCUUGCUGAACGAGAUCUGACGCUGAAGCACGAAAGCGUGGGGAGCAAAAGGG